rnacentral:rRNA from 1 species
UGCGGAGGGAUCAUUACAGAACGCCCGGGCUUCGGCCUGGUUAUUCAUAACCCUUUGUUGUCCGACUCUGUUGCCUCCGGGGCGACCCUGCCUUCGGGCGGGGGCUCCGGGUGGACACUUCAAACUCUUGCGUAACUUUGCAGUCUGAGUAAACUUAAUUAAUAAAUUAAAACUUUUAACAACGGAUCUCUUGGUUCUGGCAUCGAUGAAGAACGCAGCGAAAUGCGAUAAGUAAUGUGAAUUGCAGAAUUCAGUGAAUCAUCGAAUCUUUGAACGCACAUUGCGCCCCCUGGUAUUCCGGGGGGCAUGCCUGUUCGAGCGUCAUUUCACCACUCAAGCCUCGCUUGGUAUUGGGCAACGCGGUCCGCCGCGUGCCUCAAAUCGUCCGGCUGGGUCUUCUGUCCCCUAAGCGUUGUGGAAACUAUUCGCUAAAGGGUGUUCGGGAGGCUACGCCGUAAAACAACCCCAUUUCUAAGGUUGACCUCGGAUCAGGUAGGGAUACCCGCUGAACUUAAGCAUAUCAAUAAGCGGAGGAA